AGCUUUGCGCAGUGGCAGUAUCGUAGCCAAUGAGGUUUAUCCGAGGCACGAUUAUUGCUUAUUAAAGUAUAACAAACCAGUGCAGCUGGAGCAGCAGGGUGUCAAGAGAUGAGAUAUUCAGGUAAUGGCAGCCAGUCUGCAAAGAACCUGGUAAGGCAUCGUGAUGGUUAAUUUUAUGCAUCAAUUUGACUAGGUCAUGUGGUGCCCAGAUAUUUUG
rnacentral:snRNA from 1 species